UACCUGGUUGAUCCUGCCAGUAGUCAUAUGCUUGUCUCAAAGAUUAAGCCAUGCAUGUGUAAGCACACACUGUUUUAAAAGUGAAGCCGCGAAUGGCUCAUUACAACAGCCACAGUUUAUUAGAACUUACAAUCAUGGAUAACUGUGGUAAUUCUAGAGCUAAUACACGCACAAAAACUUCAACUGAAUUGGUUGAAGUGCUUUUAUUAGAACAAAAACCGAACGGCGUUUGACGAAUGUUGAACGUCGAAACUGUUUGGUGAAUCUGAAUAACUAUUUCUGAUCGCAUGGUCUAGCACCGGCGACAUCACUUUCAAGUGUCUGCCUUAUCAACCUUCGAUGGUAGUCUAUGCGACUACCAUGGUGAUAACGGGUAACGGAGAAUCAGGGUUCGACUCCGGAGAGGGAGCCUGAGAAACGGCUACCACAUCCAAGGAAGGCAGCAGGCGCGCAAAUUACCCACUCCCAGCUUGGGGAGGUAGUGACGAAAAAUAACGAGACGAUUCUCGUUUGAGAAACGUUAUCGAAAUGAGUACGCUUUACACACGCUAACGAGUAGCAAUUGGAGGGCAAGUCUGGUGCCAGCAGCCGCGGUAAUUCCAGCUCCAAUAGCGUAUAUUAAAGUUGCUGCGGUUAAAACGCUCGUAGUUGAAUUGUGGUCUUAGACAACAGUCCCCCUACAAAGGUGUGGCACGGUUGCUCGAGAUCUUCAUUCGUGGUUGCUGUUGUUGCUCUUCAUUGAGUGUCAAUGGUGCCUCGAGAUUUUACUUUGAAAAAAUUAGAGUGCUCAAAGCAGGUUGUGAUGCCCUGAAUAAUGAUGCAUGGAAUAAAAAAUACGAUCUCGGUUCUUAUUUUUUGUUGGGUUUUUCGAAACCGGGA
rfam:Trichinella spiralis unplaced genomic scaffold Scfld2049, whole genome shotgun sequence.